rnacentral:rRNA from 1 species
UACGUAGGGUGCAAGCGUUGUCCGGAAUUAUUGGGCGUAAAGAGCUUGUAGGCGGUUUGUCGCGUCUGCUGUGAAAUUUCGGGGCUCAACCCCGAACUUGCAGUGGGUACGGGCAGACUAGAGUGUGGUAGGGGAGACUGGAAUUCCUGGUGUAGCGGUGAAAUGCGCAGAUAUCAGGAGGAACACCGGUGGCGAAGGCGGGUCUCUGGGCCUGUCCUGACGCUGAGGCGCGAAAGCUAGGGGAGCGAACAGG